rnacentral:rRNA from 1 species
UACGUAGGGACCGAGCGUUGUCCGGAAUCAUUGGGCGUAAAGAGCGUGUAGGCGGCUAUUUAAGUCCUGCGUGAAAUCCUGCGGCUCAACCGCAGACGGUCGUGGGAAACUGGAUGGCUAGAGUGCGGGAGAGGAGAGUGGAAUUCCAGGUGUAGCGGUGAAAUGCGUAGAUAUCUGGAGGAACACCGGUGGCGAAGGCGGCAUCCUGGACCAAUAUUGACGCUGAGGAGCGAAAGCCAGGGGAGCAAACGGG